CCUACGGGAGGCAGCAGUAAGGAAUAUUGGACAAUGCUCGCAAGAGUGAUCCAGCCAUGCCGCGUGCAGGAAGAAUGCCCUAUGGGUAGUAAACUGCUUUUGAACUAGAGAAAACCCCAGUACGUGUACUGGGCUGAUAGUAUAGUUAGAAUAAGCAUCGGCUAACUUCGUGCCAGCAGCCGCGGUAAGACGAAGGAUGCAAGCGUUAUCCGGAUUCAUUGGGUUUAAAGGGAGCGUAGGUGGACUGAUAAGUCAGUGGUGAAAUCUCCGAGCUUAACUCGGAAAUUGCCAUUGAUACUGUUGGUCUUGAGUACAGUUGCUGUGGGCGGAAUAUGACAUGUAGUGGUGAAAUACAUAGAGAUGUCAUAGAACACCGAUUGCGAAGGCAGCUCACAAAGCUGUAACUGACACUGAGGCUCGAAAGUGCGGGGAUCAAACAGGAUUAGAUACCCUGGUAGUCCGCACCGUAAACGAUGAUUACUCGCUGCUAGGGGGCAACCUUUAGUGGCUUAGCGAAAGCGAUAAGUAAUCCACCUGGGGAGUACGCCGGCAACGGUGAAACUUAAAUGAAUUGACGG
rnacentral:rRNA from 1 species